UGGGAGGCUGAUACCCAAUUAGAGGAAAUUUUCUCUAGUUGGCACAUACUCUCCCUAUAAUAAAAUUGCCUUCUGAUGACCGGAGUGAGUUGAGGGAAAUCAUAACGGACAGAUACGGGGCAUACAGCU
rnacentral:snoRNA from 1 species